rnacentral:tRNA from 1 species
GCGAUGGUGGUUCAGUGGUAGAAUUGUCGCCUUCCAUGCCGGAGACUUGGGUUCCAUUCCUGGUCAGUGCA